GGGAGCACAAGAGUCCUAGCCCCGCCCCUUUUGGGGUGGCUCAGAGACACUUCAAAAAUUAGUAAAAUGCCCCCCAUCUAAAAUUAUUGCCCACCUCGACCUAUGUAGCUGACCUAAAAUAUCACAUUCUCCAUGAGAGCAUUUAUAUUCUGUGCCAAGAGCUUCCAGUCUUUGCUUUUUACUUAGUCCUUCUGUAACCGCCUCCUCCCCCACAGUCAAUGACUGAUCCCCGAUUAAAGACCGGAGAAUGAUUUUGGGGAUGUAGCCCAGGGUUUCUCAAACUGGGGGUCAUGACCAGCGGUAAGGAGGGAUGUGGGGGGCCACUGGCCACAUGACCAGACCCUUGCGUGACUCCCAACCGCAACACUCCUAGUCCAGGCGAUGGCUGGGUCAAUGUCUGCCUGCCCCAGGCCUCACCGAUCCCUUCCCCUUCUUCAUGCCUCUCCCUCCCCCGCCCUGCCUCUUCCUGCUCCCCAGACCGCCCAAGGAGCAUUGUUAGGGGGAUUAUAGGAGAGGAUGGCAUAGGCAGCAGGGGUUGUUCCCCCAAAUGCCGGCCAUGUCACUCCGCUUCCCACUGGUGGGUGUGGAGCCAGGGCAGGGGAGGGUGAACAAUGCAGGUGGCAGCUGGGGGAGCAGGCUAGGGUUGCAUUGCUCCACUUCCCUUCUCUAGGCCCCAUUGCUGCUUGUGCCUGUUGCAGCCGCAAUCCCUGCUGUGGAUGCCAGGCCCUCACCAGUCCCUCCCCCGGCUGCCCGGAGGCUCUGGCUCCUGUUUCUCCCACUCGUGGUGUUUACAAGGGGUGUCACCUUCUUCCUUGCCCCCUUACAUGUCGCCCCUGCUCAUGACCCCUCAAGAGGUUGCAAAGUUAUUAUAUGGGAGUCAGCUUCCACUUCCAAAGCCUUCCUCUGCCAGCCUUUUAUACACCCUGGUUCUUCUGAGUUAAGAGCCUGUUUCAUCCAUGAGAGACUGAGAUUUUGGGGAAAUGAAUCAGUGUUUACUCACCACCACCUAUGCCGUUAUCGUCCUGCCAUAGUUUGCCAGGCUCCGAUUCUAGUCAGUCAACUGUCUCCACCUAGUGGCUGACAGAAGCCUUGUUCCUUCUUUCUGGGCAGUUAACCAGUUCUUUGCUCACUUGAUUAACAAACUUGAACCUGUUCUUCCUUUAGGGAAAAACUUGGGAUCAACUUCGGCCCAAUGUAUGCUUGAGGAAGGUGCAAGUGGUUGGGACGAGGAGGUUCCAGGUUGCCAAGGCUAGAAAUGGAAAAGUGCUGCAGUCUCCUCCCUAGAUGAACCUAGCUGCAUAAAUCCAGGCACAGCCGUUGUGAAAAGAGCAGCAGAGAAAUAACAUGUAGACUCAGCCUCCGCAGCGCGCCACGGCAUGCCCGGCUCUCAAGGCUUUGAGUCCUGCAAAAAGUGCCACAAGACUGUGACCCGGGGCAACCCUCAUUCCUCGUGUUUAAAGUGCUUGGAGGAGAUGCAGCUCACAGAAGCCUGCAGAAUCUGCAAGGUGUUUAAGCCCCACAUGAAACACAAGAGAGAGUCGCGUCUAAUGGAGGCAGCUCUCCAGCC